GCGCGUGUAGCCCAAUCGGCAAGAGGCGGCUGGCUUAAACCCAGCUCGGGUGAGAGUUCGAAUCUCUCCACGCGCACCA
rnacentral:tRNA from 1 species